CCGAUGUAUUGAACAGUGUGUUAGUAUUUAGUUGUGCGAAGCCUUGUUGACAAGAGCAAAUGAUGGUAUAGCAAUGAACAUCAGGAUGAUACUAGGAAAUAUGGUCCGAAGAAUCUCGAUAGUAGUUCCACGAACAAUCCUUUGCGGGAUUGGAUUUUUCUGAUAGUGGAAAUGCCAUAAAACGCGAACCAAGAUCCGUAAUUUUGUGGCAAAGGCUGGGGACUACGUUGAAGUUCGCGAUGGUAAACUAUUGGUGAACAGUGCUGCUCAAGAUGAUUUCCAUAUUAGAGCCACUUUCUUAUGAGAUGGAACCAUUGGCGAUGCUAAUUUGAAGUCGUGCCAACUUAAUUUGCUAAUAGCAUCACACAGCCGACAUUUUGAUCAAGCUUUCUGCCCGUUUCAAUUGCAGCUUAUUCCUGAAGGAUAUGUAUUUGUAAUGGGAGUCAAGAGGAACAACAGCUUUGACUCCCAUAACUGGGGUCCGCCUCCUAUCAAGAACAUUGUUGGCAGAUCAGUGUUCCGGUAUCGGCCUCCUUCCAGGGUCUCGGACACUAGAUCUGAGCCUUAAUCUGCAAAAGAAGAUGUUGGAUCCUGACAUAGCCUCAUGCUCGCUGAUAGGGCAAUCGGCUGUUGACUCCUUAUCUAAUUUACGUGGUGAUUUUUACAAUUAUUCUCCACUCUUUCUGUCUCAUUGUUGAGCAUAUGUGAAUAUGUUCGAGUCUUCCUUUAACCUUGCGCAGGCAGCUUGCUUUUGCCUGUUCUUGAUGGAUUGUCUCAUCCAUCUUGUGAAUAGUGAGAGGUAAAAAGAACCGAGAAAAGAUCCAAAAAAAAAACAGAAAAACCAAAAACCCAAGAAAAGGGAAAAAGAAGAAGAAAGACAGAGACUGAUCCAAUAGUUUGUUCAUGGGUUUACUUAGCCAGUGUGGAAAUUUUUUCCUUCCUGUAAUGACAUUUUGUUACAUUUAUAAUAGAAGAGUGGCGAGAGCCUAAGAUUUGA